rfam:Dufourea novaeangliae contig2680, whole genome shotgun sequence.
UAAACGGCCCUUUUCAGGGCCACCAAUUUUUGUAUACAUGGGAAU